UGCAAGCGAAGUUGAGUCUCGCAACUCCUCUAUUCUAACUUGAACGAGUCGUGUGAGUGAGACCUUCUCCUGAACCUAUUUCUUCACAGCUCCUCGAUUAAGACCGGUAGCAACACAAAGGAUUCAAGAUGGCGGCGUUCAUUGCCAAGCAGAUGAUGGGCAACCAGCUCAAAGCCGUCCAAGAAAUCUGCUAAUUUGUUGCAGUUCGCAUGAGGGAG
rnacentral:lncRNA from 1 species